rnacentral:rRNA from 1 species
CCCUUAGAUGUCCUGGGCCGCACGCGCGCUACACUGAACGGAUCAGCGCGUUUUCCCUUCCCGAGAGGGACGGGUAACCUGCUGAACCCCGUUCGUGGUAGGGAUCGGGGCUUGCAAUUAUUCCCCGUGAACCAGGAAUGCCCAGUAAGUGCAAGUCAUAAGCUUGCGUUGAUUACGUCCCUGCCCUUUGUACACACCGCCCGUCGCUACUACCGAUUGAACGUUUUAGUGAGGUACUCGGACUGAGCCUCAGAAGAUUCACGUCUUUUGUGCCGCUCGGGAAGAUUCCCAAACUUGAGCGUUUAGAGGAAGUAAAAGUCGUAACA